rnacentral:rRNA from 1 species
GCGGCGUGCUUAACACAUGCAAGUCGAACGAAGAGCGAUGGAAGCUUGCUUCUAUCAAUCUUAGUGGCGAACGGGUGAGUAACGCGUAAUCAACCUGCCCUUCAGAGGGGGACAACAGCUGGAAACGACUGCUAAUACCGCAUACGAUCUAACCUCGGCAUCGAGGAUAGAUGAAAGGUGGCCUCUACAUGUAAGCUAUCACUGAAGGAGGGGAUUGCGUCUGAUUAGCUAGUUGGAGGGGUAACGGCCCACCAAGGCGAUGAUCAGUAGCCGGUCUGAGAGGAUGAACGGCCACAUUGGGACUGAGACACGGCCCAUACUCCUACGGGAGGCAGCAGUGGGGAAUCUUCCGCAAUGGACGAAAGUCUGACGGAGCAACGCCGCGUGAGUGAUGACGGCCUUCGGGUUGUAAAGCUCUGUUAAUCGGGACGAAAGGCCUUCUUGCGAAUAGUUAAAAAGAUUGACGGUACCGGAAUAGAAAGCCACGGCUAACUACGUGCCACCAGCCGCGGUAAUACAUAUGUGGCAAGCGUUGUCCGGAAUUAUUGGACGUAAAGCGCGAGCAGGCGGAUAGGUCAUUCUGUCUUAAAAGUUCGGGGCUUAACCCCGUGAUGGGAUGGAAACUGCCAAUCUAGAGUAUCGGAGAGGAAAGUGGAAUUCCUAGUGUAGCGGAGAAAUGCAUAGAUAUUACGAAGAACACCAGUGGCGAAGGCGACUUUCUGGACGACAAAUGACGCUGAGGCGCAAAAGCCAGGGGAGCGAACGGGAUUAGAUACCCCGGUAGUAGUGCCCGUAAUCGAUGGGUACUAGGAGUAGGAGGUAUCGACCCCUUAUGUGCCGGAGUUAACGCAAUAAGUAUCCCGCUUGGGGAGUACGACCGCAAGGUUGAAAUUCAAAGGAAUUGACGGGGGCCCGCCCAAGCGGUGGAGUAUGUGGUUUAAUUGGACGCAACGGGAAGACCCUUACCAGGUCUUGACAUUGAUGGACAGAACCAGAGAUGGUUCCUGUUCUUUGGAAGCCAGAAAACAGCUGGUGCACGGUUGUCGUCAGCUCGUGUCGUGAGAUGAUGGGUUAAGUCCCGCAACGAGCGCAACCCCUAUCUUAUGUUGCCAGCAUGUAAAGGUGGGAACUCAUGAGAGACUGCCGCAGACAAUGCGGAGGAAGGCGGGGAUGACGUCAAAUCAUCAUGCCCCUUAUGACCUGGGCUACACACGUAGUACAAUGGGAGUUAAUAGAGGGAAGCGAGAUCGCGAGAUGGAGCAAAUCUGAGAAACACUCUCUCAGUUCGGAUCGUAGGCUGCAACUCGCCUACGUGAAGUCGGAAUCGCCAGUAAUCGCAGGUCAGCAUAUUGCGGUGAAUACGUUCCCGGGCCUUGUACACACCGCCCGUCACACCACGAAAGUCGGAAGUGCCCAAAGCCGCUGGGGUAACCUUCGGGAGCCAGCCGUCUAAGGUAAAGUCGAUGAUUGGGGUGAAGUCAUAAC